CCAAUAGCGUAUAUUAAAGUUGUUGUGGUUAAAAAGCUCGUAGUUGAACCUUGGGCCUGGCUGGCCGGUCCGCCUCACCGCGUGUACUGGUCCGGCCGGGCCUUUCCCUCUGUGGAACCCCAUGCCCUUCACUGGGCGUGGCGGGGAAACAGGACUUUUACUGUGAAAAAAUUAGAGUGCUCCAGGCAGGCCUAUGCUCGAAUACAUUAGCAUGGAAUAAUAGAAUAGGACGUGUGGUUCUAUUUUGUUGGUUUCUAGGACCGCCGUAAUGAUUAAUAGGGACAGUCGGGGGCAUCAGUAUUCAAUUGUCAGAGGUGAAAUUCUUGGAUUUAUUGAAGACUAACUACUGCGAAAGCAUUUGCCAAGGAUGUUUUCAUUAAUCAGGAACGAAAGUUAGGGGAUCGAAGACGAUCAGAUACCGUCGUGGUCUUAACCAUAAACUAUGCCGACUAGGGAUCGGACGGUGUUAUUUUUUGACCCGUUCGGCACCUUACG
rnacentral:rRNA from 1 species